rnacentral:rRNA from 1 species
GGCACUACGGUGCUGAAGCAACAAAUGCCCUGCUUCCAGGAAAAGCCUCUAAGCAUCAGGUAACAUCAAAUCGUACCCCAAACCGACACAGGUGGUCAGGUAGAGAAUACCAAGGCGCUUGAGAGAACUCGGGUGAAGGAACUAGGCAAAAUGGUGCCGUAACUUCGGGAGAAGGCACGCUGAUAUGUAGGUGAAGUCCCUCGCGGAUGGAGCUGAAAUCAGUCGAAGAUACCAGCUGGCUGCAACUGUUUAUUAAAAACACAGCACUGUGCAAACACGAAAGUGGACGUAUACGGUGUGACGCCUGCCCGGUGCCGGAAGGUUAAU